rnacentral:rRNA from 1 species
UUAAGCGACUAAGCGUACACGGUGGAUGCCCUGGCAGUCAGAGGCGAUGAAGGACGUGCUAAUCUGCGAAAAGCGUCGGUAAGGUGAUAUGAACCGUUACAGCCGGCGAUGUCCGAAUGGGGAAACCCAGUGCAAUUCGUUGCACUAUCGUUAACUGAAUACAUAGGUUAACGAGGCGAACCGGGGGAACUGAAACAUCUAAGUACCCCGAGGAAAAGAAAUCAACCGAGAUUCCCCCAGUAGCGGCGAGCGAACGGGGAGCAGCCCAGAGUCUGAAUCAGCUUGUGUGUUAGUGGAACGGUCUGGAAAGUCCGACGGUACAGGGUGAUAGUCCCGUACACCAAAAUGCACAGGCUGUGAACUCGAAGAGUAGGGCGGGACACGUGGUAUCCUGUCUGAAUAUGGGGGGACCAUCCUCCAAGGCUAAAUACUCCUGACUGACCGAUAGUGAACCAGUACCGUGAGGGAAAGGCGAAAAGAACCCCGGCGAGGGGAGUGAAAAAGAACCUGAAACCGUGUACGUACAAGCAGUGGGAGCACCUUCGGGUGUGACUGCGUACCUUUUGUAUAAUGGGUCAGCGACUUAUAUUCUGUAGCAAGGUUAACCGUAUAGGGGAGCCGCAGGGAAACCGAGUCUUAACUGGGCGUUAAGUUGCAGGGUAUAGACCCGAAACCCGGUGAUCUAGCCAUGGGCAGGUUGAAGGUUGGGUAACACUAACUGGAGGACCGAACCGACUAAUGUUGAAAAAUUAGCGGAUGACUUGUGGCUGGGGGUGAAAGGCCAAUCAAACCGGGAGAUAGCUGGUUCUCCCCGAAAGCUAUUUAGGUAGCGCCUCGUGAAUUCAUCUUCGGGGUAGAGCACUGUUUCGGCUAGGGGGUCAUCCCGACUUACCAACCCGAUGCAAACUACGAAUACCGAAGAAUGUUAUCACGGGAGACACACGGCGGGUGCUAACGUCCGUCGUGAAGAGGGAAACAACCCAGACCGCCAGCUAAGGUCCCAAAGUCAUGGUUAAGUGGGAAACGAUGUGGGAAGGCACAGACAGCCAGGAUGUUGGCUUAGAAGCAGCCAUCAUUUAAAGAAAGCGUAAUAGCUCACUGGUCGAGUCGGCCUGCGCGGAAGAUGUAACGGGGCUAAACCAUGCACCGAAGCUGCGGCAGCGACACUAUGUGUUGUUGGGUAGGGGAGCGUUCUGUAAGCCUGCGAAGGUGUGCUGUGAGGCAUGCUGGAGGUAUCAGAAGUGCGAAUGCUGACAUAAGUAACGAUAAAGCGGGUGAAAAGCCCGCUCGCCGGAAGACCAAGGGUUCCUGUCCAACGUUAAUCGGGGCAGGGUGAGUCGACCCCUAAGGCGAGGCCGAAAGGCGUAGUCGAUGGGAAACAGGUUAAUAUUCCUGUACUUGGUGUUACUGCGAAGGGGGACGGAGAAGGCUAUGUUAGCCGGGCGACGGUUGUCCCGGUUUAAGCAUGUAGGCUGGUUGUCCAGGCAAAUCCGGAUAAUCAAGGCUGAGGUGUGAUGACGAGGCACUACGGUGCUGAAGUAACAAAUGCCCUGCUUCCAGGAAAAGCCUCUAAGCAUCAGGUAACAUCAAAUCGUACCCCAAACCGACACAGGUGGUCAGGUAGAGAAUACCAAGGCGCUUGAGAGAACUCGGGUGAAGGAACUAGGCAAAAUGGUGCCGUAACUUCGGGAGAAGGCACGCUGGUGUGUAGGUGAAGUCCCUGCGGAUGGAGCUGAGACCAGUCGAAGAUACCAGCUGGCUGCAACUGUUUAUUAAAAACACAGCACUGUGCAAACACGAAAGUGGACGUAUACGGUGUGACGCCUGCCCGGUGCCGGAAGGUUAAUUGAUGGGGUUAUCCGUAAGGAGAAGCUCUUGAUCGAAGCCCCGGUAAACGGCGGCCGUAACUAUAACGGUCCUAAGGUAGCGAAAUUCCUUGUCGGGUAAGUUCCGACCUGCACGAAUGGCGUAAUGAUGGCCAGGCUGUCUCCACCCGAGACUCAGUGAAAUUGAACUCGCUGUGAAGAUGCAGUGUACCCGCGGCAAGACGGAAAGACCCCGUGAACCUUUACUAUAGCUUGACACUGAACAUUGAGCCUUGAUGUGUAGGAUAGGUGGGAGGCUUUGAAGCGUGGACGCCAGUCUGCGUGGAGCCAACCUUGAAAUACCACCCUUUAAUGUUUGAUGUUCUAACGUUGGCCCCUGACCGGGGUUGCGGACAGUGUCUGGUGGGUAGUUUGACUGGGGCGGUCUCCUCCCAAAGCGUAACGGAGGAGCACGAAGGUUAGCUAAUCCUGGUCGGACAUCAGGAGGUUAGUGCAAUGGCAUAAGCUAGCUUGACUGCGAGCGUGACGGCGCGAGCAGGUGCGAAAGCAGGUCAUAGUGAUCCGGUGGUUCUGAAUGGAAGGGCCAUCGCUCAACGGAUAAAAGGUACUCCGGGGAUAACAGGCUGAUACCGCCCAAGAGUUCAUAUCGACGGCGGUGUUUGGCACCUCGAUGUCGGCUCAUCACAUCCUGGGGCUGAAGUAGGUCCCAAGGGUAUGGCUGUUCGCCAUUUAAAGUGGUACGCGAGCUGGGUUUAGAACGUCGUGAGACAGUUCGGUCCCUAUCUGCCGUGGGCGCUGGAGAAUUGAGGGGGGCUGCUCCUAGUACGAGAGGACCGGAGUGGACGCAUCACUGGUGUUCGGGUUGUCAUGCCAAUGGCACUGCCCGGUAGCUAAAUGCGGAAGAGAUAAGUGCUGAAAGCAUCUAAGCACGAAACUUGCCCCGAGAUGAGUUCUCCCUGAGACUUUAAGUCUCCUGAAGGAACGUUGAAGACGACGACGUUGAUAGGCCGGGUGUGUAAGCGCAGCGAUGCGUUGAGCUAACCGGUACUAAUGAACCGUGAGGCUUAACCU